rnacentral:rRNA from 1 species
GAUGAACGCUGGCGGCGUGCCUAAUACAUGCAAGUCGAGCGCUCAGACGAGGAGCUUGCUCUUCUGACGUUAGUGGCGGACGGGUGAGUAACGCGUGGAUAACCUACCUAUAAGACUGGGAUAACUUCGGGAAACCGGAGCUAAUACCGGAUAACAUAUUAUACCGCAUGGUUUAUUAGUGAAAGACGGUAUUGCUGCACUAUAUAGAUGGACUCGCGCCUCUUUAGUUAUUUGGUAAGGUAAGGGCUUACCAAGGGGACGAAGCUAAGCCGACCUGGAUGGGGGAUCGGCCACACUGGAACUGAAACACGCUCCAAACUCCUACGGGAGGCAGCGUAAGGAAAUCUGCCGCAAUGGGCGAAAGCCUGACGGAGCAACGCCGCGUGAGGGAUGAAGGUCUUCGGAUCGUAAAACUCGGUGAUUAUGAAAGAACAAUUGGGUAAGUAACUAUGCACGUCUUGACGGUACCUAAUCAGAAAGCCACGGCUAACUACGUA